rnacentral:rRNA from 1 species
AACGAACGCUGGCGGCAUGCCUAACACAUGCAAGUCGAACGGAUGCAGCAAUGCAUCAGUGGCAGACGGGUGAGUAACACGUGGGAAUCUACCCAGUAGCCUGGAAUAACCGCGGGAAACUGCGGCUAAUACCGGAUACGCCCCUCGGGGGAAAGGAGCAAUCCACGAUUGGAGGAGCCCGCGUCCGAUUAGCUAGUUGGUGAGGUAACGGCUCAUCAAGGCGAUGAUCGGUAGCUGGUUUGAGAGAACGACCAGCCACACUGGGACUGAGACACGGCCCAGACUCCUACGGGAGGCAGCAGUGGGGAAUAUUGGACAAUGGGGGAAACCCUGAUCCAGCAAUGCCGCGUGGGUGAUGAAGGCCUUCGGGUUGUAAAGCCCUUUUGGCGGGGACGAUGAUGACGGUACCCGCAGAAGAAGCCCCGGCUAACUUCGUGCCAGCCGCCGCCGUAAUAC